CUGCUUGGCUUCCCUGGAGUAGCUUACAAAAUAAAUUAGCAGGACCUGACAUUUAAAAUUUUAUCAGUUGUAGAUUUUUAGAGUGUCAAUGGGGUUUGGGUUUCAUGGUUGCUGCUAAAAUAAAUGUGAGCAACUCGCAUGACUAUAUUCAGUUUUCACUGAUUUAAUUACUGCUUAGAAAAGAAAUUGCCAGAUGGAAAAGACAUCGGCAUCAUGCCUCACAUUCUUCCUGGUGUUCGAGUCAGAGAUCAUUCUGUAGAUCCAGAUCCUUCUGAGGUGGCUUCGUUAAUCAAAGAGAAUGAACUUGCCAGAGACAAGAGAACAGUGCUGCAGCCAAGCAAAGAACAGUAGCUGUGCUUCUAAACUAGACUCUCCAAAGAGCCCAUGAACAUUUUCUAGACCAGCAUCCCAUCUCAUUCAGCCCUUCCUCCCUCUCAGAGUUUCCAGAUGUUUUACCAUCCUGAGGUCCAGCAUUAGCCAAUGGUCUUAAAAGGGACGCCUAGCAAAGAAAGGAAUAUGGGAGGUAUGGUCUGGUAGGGUGCCCUUUUCUGGGCAGUGUACUUCUGGAUGGUUGGAUGUUGAGACACUCACCUAUCUCCUAACUAUACUUUAACAUUUCCUGAACAUCUUUUGAAAAUCAUUAUUUUCAUGAUGUACAUUAUGUAAAAUAGUACAACCACUUUGGAAAACAAUUUGGCAUAGUAAAGCUGACCCAGCAAUUCCAUUUUCAGGUAUAUUCUCUAUAGAAUCUCUUGCAAAUACACAUGUAAAACAAUGUACAUAGUAAC
ensembl:lncRNA